GUGUACUCAAAAUAGCUAGCUAACAAACUACUGCUAGCUAUUACAACUGUAAUAACAUAGCUUAGUAGAGGCGAUUCAAUGAUGGAUGCAUUUUUACAUAAGUACAAUCAUCCAGAAAUACAGUCAUUCUUGGCAUAUUAGAGGCCAAUGAUUUUAUGAAUCUGGG